rnacentral:tRNA from 1 species
GCAUAGGUGGUUCAGUGGUAGAAUUCUUGCUUGCCACAUGGGGGGCCUGGGUUUGAUUCCCAGCCCAUGCA